UAUUUCCUCUUCCUUAUGAUUUUCUUAACAUUUGCUUUUCUCUAGCUCACUUUAAUGUAAGAAUACAGUGUAAGGGCCUGGUUGGGCAGAGGGAG